UACGAAGGGGGCUAGCGUUGCUCGGAAUCACUGGGCGUAAAGCGCACGUAGGCGGCUUCUUAAGUCGGAGGGUGAAAUCCUGGAGCUCAACUCCAGAACUGCCUUUGAUACUGGAGAGCUUGAGUCCGGGAGAGGUGAGUGGAACUGCGAGUGUAGAGGUGAAAUUCGUAGAUAUUCGCAAGAACACCAGUGGCGAAGGCGGCUCACUGGCCCGAUCUACGCUGAGGUGCGAAAGCGUGGGGAGCAAACAGGG
rnacentral:rRNA from 1 species